UGAAUACGAGAUGCUACGGCAUUGAAGCAGUGUAUGUCAGACUUCCAAGAAAAGCUCGCAAUGUCAUAAACAAUAAAUGCCUGUACCAUAACCGACACAGGUGGGUAGGUAGAGUAUACUAAGGGGCGCGAGAUAACUCUCUCUAAGGAACUCGGCAAAAUGACUCCGUAACUUCGGGAGAAGGAGUGCCUUAUUUUAUAAGGUUGCAAUAACAAGAUCCAAGCAACUGUUUACCAAAAACACAGGUCUCCGCUAAGUCGAAAGACGAUGUAUGGGGGCUGACGCCUGCCCAGUGCCAGAAGGUUAAAGAAGUUGGUUAGCUUCGGCGAAGCUGAUGACUGAAGCCCUGGUGAACGGCGGCCGUAACGAUAACGGUCCUAAGGUAGCGAAAUUCCUUGUCGGGUAAGUUCCGACCCGCACGAAAGGCGUAAUGAUUUGGAUACUGUCUCGGAGAGGGGCUCGGUGAAAUAGACUUGUCUGUGAAGAUGCGGACUACCUGCACCUGGACAGGAAGACCCUAUGAAGCUUUACUGUAACUUGAGAUUGAAAUUGGACUUUAUUUGCGCAGUAUAGGUGGGAGACGUUGAGAAUAUUCUUGCGGGAAUAUUGGAGUCAUCAGUGAGAUACCACUCUUGUAAUGUUAGAUUUCUAACUUUGUAUCAUUAUCUGGUCAAAGGACAGUUUCAGGCGGGCAGUUUGACUGGGGCGGUCGCCUCCUAAACGGUAACGGAGGCGCACAAAGGUUUCCUCUGAACGUGUAGAAAUCGUAUCUAGAGUGUAAAGGCAUAAGGAAGCUUGACUGUGAGACCUACAAGUCGAGCAGGGACGAAAGUCGGUCUUAGUGAUCUGACGGUGCUGAGUGGAAAGGCCGUCACUCAACGGAUAAAAGUUACUCUAGGAUAACAGGCUGAUCUCCCCCAAGAGUUCACAUCGACGGGGAGGUUUGGCACCUCGAUGUCGGCUCAUCGCAUCCUGGGGCGGUAGUACGUCCCAAGGGUUGGGCUGUUCGCCCAUGAAAGCGGUACGCGAGCUGGGUUCAGAACGUCGUGAGACAGUUCGGUCCAUAUCCGGUGUAGGCGUUAGAAUAUUGAGAGGAGCCUUCUUUAGUACGAGAGGACCGAGAAGGACAUACCUCUGGUGUACCAGUUAUCGUGCCAACGGUAAACGCUGGGUAGCUAUGUAUGGAGUGGAUAACCGCUGAAAGCAUCUAAGUGGGAAGCCCACCUCAAGAUAAG
rnacentral:rRNA from 1 species